rnacentral:rRNA from 1 species
UACGUAGGGUGCGAGCGUUGUCCGGAAUUAUUGGGCGUAAAGAGCUCGUAGGCGGUCUGUCGCGUCGGUCGUGAAAACUUGGGGCUUAACCCUGAGCUUGCGGUCGAUACGGGCAUGACUGGAGUUCGGCAGGGGAGACUGGAAUUCCUGGUGUAGCGGUGAAAUGCGCAGAUAUCAGGAGGAACACCGGUGGCGAAGGCGGGGCUCUGGGCCGAUACUGACGCUGAGGAGCGAAAGCGUGGGGAGCGAACAGG